rnacentral:misc_RNA from 1 species
UUCUCUGAAAGACAGUCAAGUAGUUGAACUGUUAAGCAAUACUACCAGGCAACAAAGGUCAAUUAUGAUAGGUCCUGCCUCAUUUUCACUCUAUUGUUUGUUAAGUGAAGUUUCGAUGAACCUUGAUCCUAGAUCAGAUGAAUCUGUUCGUUUUUUGAGAACACUGGUAGAUUCAGCUGAAACCAGCCAACAGAAAAUGGUCGCAUAUCAUCGGUUAGGAUGCGUUAAAUUUCUUAGGGAAGAGCUUGAUGAAGCUGAG